AUACUCUGAUAAUUGUGAUUAGGUCAGACAGGAGUUUGUCUGCAAAAGACUCAUAAGUAACUCGAUCUCCAAUAAAAAAAAAUGAAAGGCCAAAUAAUUUACAAAAUUAAAAACUUUGAUAAUCAAGAGAAAAACUUAUAUCUAUGAUUCAUACAUAAAAUACAAAACUUAGAACCUGAAAUUGAAAAAUUAUAAACAGUCAGGGGCG
rnacentral:lncRNA from 1 species